rnacentral:rRNA from 1 species
GACGAACGCUGGCGGCGUGCUUAACACAUGCAAGUCGAACGGAAAGGCCCUGCUUUUGUGGGGUGCUCGAGUGGCGAACGGGUGUGUAACACGUGAGUAACCUGCCCUUGACUUUGGUAUAAUUUCAGGAAACUGGGGCUAAUACCGGAUAGGAGCUCCUGCUGCAUGGUGGGGGUUGGAAAGUUUCGGCGGUUGGGGAUGGACUCGCGGCUUAUCAGCUUGUUGGUGGGGUAGUGGCUUACCAAGGCUUUGACGGGUAGCCGGCCUGAGAGGGUGACCGGCCACAUUGGGACUGGGAUACGGCCCAGACUCCUACGGGAGGAAGCAGUGGGGAAUAUUGCAAAAUGGGCGGAAGCCUGAUGCAGAAACGCCGCGUGCGGGAUGACGGCCUUCGGGUUGUAAACCGCUUUCGCCUGUGACGAAGCGUGAGUGACGGUAAUGGGUAAAGAAGCACCGGCUAACUACGUG